ensembl:snRNA U6 U6 spliceosomal RNA
UUGCUCAGUUCAGCAGUAACACAUAUGCUAAAAUUGGAAUGAUACAGAAAAAGAUUAUCAUGGCCGCUGUGUGAGGAUGACAUAAAAAUUAAUGAAGUGUUUCCUAAUUUU